rfam:Marine metagenome ctg_1101667441053, whole genome shotgun sequence.
UAAAUCGUGAGAGAUAGUCUGGAGGAAGCCGCUAGCAAAUCUGCGAGCUGAUGAACAAGAACAUCAUAUGAGGCGUAGGCUGAAGGUGAGUUGGCACAAGACAACAAAACCAUGUGAUCUAACGGCCACCGUAAAUGAUGCAGCAGUGCAGAGACAGUGCAUGUC